GGCUGGUCCGAGUGCAGAGGUGUUUACAACUAAUUGAUCACAACCAGUUACAGGUUUCUUUGUUCCUUCUCCACUCCCACUGCUUCACUUGACUAGCCUUAA
ensembl:misc_RNA Y_RNA Y RNA